ACUCACAAGGCGCCAGCUACAAGCAUCUCCCAAGUCGCCACCUACGUGCAACUCACAAGGCGCCAGCUACAAGCAUCUUCCAAGUCGCCACCUACGUGCAACUCACAAGGCGCCAGCUACAAGCAUCUCACAAGUCGCCACCAACGUGCAACUCACAAGGCGCCAUCUACAAGCCUCGAGCACACCAGCUACAAGCAACUCUACAGGCGUCCAGCCUACAAGCCUCGAGCACACCAGCUACCAGCAACUCUACAGGCGUCCAGCCUACAAGCCUCGAGCACACCUGCUACAAGCAACUCUACAGGCGUCCAGCCUACAAGCCUCGAGCACACCAGCUACAAGCAACUCUACAGGCGUCCAGCCUACAAGCCCCGAGCACACCCACAGGCCUACGCAGUCGAUAGCGAGGGCCACAAUCUACAAGCCGCUCCCCCGCUUCAAGCCAGCACUGCUACGUACCCUGCAAGCCACUCCACGAUACGGCAGAGGUAUUCACACCUGCAACGAGGAGGCACGCACCGCUGACCUUGGGACACCCCGCAUGCCCCUCGCUCCACAGCUGGCGGCACCACCGCCGCUGCCGGGAGCAUCGGCCCAAACCUCUUCCGGCAAACAGUCAGCAAGGGUACCCGCGGCCAUCUCCCGGUGACUGCAAGCCGUUCCCACUACCGUUUCUUGCAAGGCGUUUUCUCAAGAGGUUACACACCCAAGUCGUCUUAUCUGCCACCGCCGCCCAUCUCUUACUAUAACAAGGACGACGCGGCCAUCAUACGUCUGGCGGCAGUGUACCGGCUCCCGCAGCCGCGGCCGCUCAAAUUGCUGGGUCAGCAGUUUUUCAACCUCCAUGGCGAGUCCUCCGAUGUCAGCCCAUCCCUCACCUCUCACCGCCGCUGUGGCCGCGGCCGAGGUUUCCUGACGCGCCUACAACGACUGCACGUCACCCAGGGCAUCACAAGCCGUCGCCCUCUCCACUACAUCAGCUGACUAAUCUUGGCCGCAGAAUUCGUUCACCCCCGGGUUCGUCUGCAUACUUACAACCCACUCAAGGUUCAAGGACACCCUCACCAGCAUCCCCUCGCACCAGCCGCAGUAUUACAGGCUCAAAAUCAUGAUGUUGCGUUUUCUGACCAUCUUAUUGUCCCUCGGCUCCCUGCUUGCAACAACACCCAUCCACCUGAAGCCUGGUGCCCUCACGGCACACAUAGGAGAGGUCUUCCUCAUAGAAGAUGUGCUCCUCGUAAAAUAUCCAUAUACUUCCUUGACCAACACCACGGACACAAUCAGGAUAGUCUCAGAAAAACUACUCGGCAUGGCAGACGCCAUCCGGGCUACCAAGACUAGGGAAUCAAAGGCUCCUUCUAGUACCAACUCUCUGACUCUUUUUCAACUACUGGAGGAUAGGAUUCUGUUCUUACGGGGAAAAGUUGAUGAGGUACGGCUACCGACGAGGACGUUCGCGAUUUGCGGGACCACUACGCUCAUGUACUUUCCUUUGCUGCUCGAAAUCGCAGGGUGAUCAACGCCAAUUGUAGAAAACUUGCGCAAUUGCAUACUAACAUUGAGGAACUGCUAGAGCAGACAAUUAAGAUGGUAGAGGUUAUCAACAUAGUUGUCAAACAGAUCGACCAGGUGAAUCAGUUUCUCCUCCUAGAUCAGGCCUUGCAUGUAUUGGAAAACGUCAUUAACUCCGUCGCAACGGCUAAUCAGCAGGUUAUUAGCAACAUGGUUGAUGCAGCGCACGGUAGAGUCACACCUGCCUUGUUCCCUCUACACGAUUUGAGAACGACUGUCCAGAUCGGGUAUCAAAAUUAUAGCCUGACGCCUUUAUUCACCCCGGACAUGAGUCAAUAUUUUUACCCCUUGAUUGAGUCCAGCCUCACCCCUGAUGCCAUAAUCAUUCAUGUUCCAUUUCAGACGGCGGACGUGUUUGAGGCACACGAAAUUGUCCCGUUCCCUUUUUCGGCAAAGGACAGUGUGUUGG